rnacentral:lncRNA from 1 species
AAAAAAAAAAUCUUCGGCACCUUUGUUUCGACUUCCCCUUAUUCGUCAUAAACAUUCCAACUUAACAAACCCAACCACCACAGGACAUACUAUACAAGUGCUUCUGUCUUCCGUCUAUUAGAACCCCACCUUAAGCAACCGACGCAAUUCAAGCAUUACCAGCCGCCAUUCACCGGAUCGACGUAUCACUUAGCCGGCGGCUUAGACUCGCGAUUGAAUCUCACGCUAUUCAAGGACACCUACACUAAUUAUUAAAGGUGCGGAUUCCUUCCUUUACUACCUGUAUAGUAUGGGUUAGCAGGGAUGGCGGGAAAGUGU